AUAAUGACUAAUUCUAGCAAGUAUUUUUUUAAAGAUCUAUAAGUGCAAUAAAUAUAUUUUUUUUAAACAAAAUAAAAAAGCACAGAUUUUAAAAUAUAUAUGGAUCACAUUGCAGGAUUUGGAAACAAAAUGGCUGAAAUUAUUAAAUUUUUGAAAAUAAUGAUUCUCUUUAUUUUCUUAUUUCUUAUUGUAACUGGAGUUAGUGGUAAACCAUUUUUAAAUUCUUUAGAAUCUUUUUGUUUAUCAUAUACAAAAUAUUUCUUACUUAAAGUAAUAUUGUUUUCUAAAUUUUAUUUUACAGAAUCAAUGACACCAUGCAAGGUAGAUUCUGAUUGUCCGCUCGAUUUGUGUCAACGUCCUGAUGUUGCAAAAUGCCUUUUUUAUACAUGUUUCUGUCAGAAUGAAAACAUGAUUUAAUUCAUAAGGCAAAUAAUUCAAAUAUUAUAUAGAGUAAUGUAAAAUGGUCAUUGAAACCAUAUUUUGUAAUCAUAAUAAUUUCUCUUUUCUCAUUUUUUUAAUAAAUGUUAUUUAAAAUUACAGUAACUAUAAUGGUUAAUUUUAUUCGUUUGUAUGAUUACAGUUUUUUGUACAUAUUCUUUUUAUUAAAAAGAUUAAUGGCUGGAGUCCACCUAUUGUAUAUUUAUUACAACGUUAUUUUACUAUAUUUGCCAAUUAUAAAUAUGUUGAUUUUUUUGA
rnacentral:lncRNA from 1 species